GGAAUUUUUUUCCAAAAUUAUUUUUUUUGUGUGUGUGAAAAUUGAAAUCCCUAAGAAAGAACAACAUUCUCCCGCAUUCAUCUAUCUACAACUUAAAUUUCAAAGUACGAGCUGGAAAACAAAAUUUGUCCCCCAGUCGCGGACGGGCACGCGGGUGGGCAAGCUGAACCUCGUGGACCUGGCCGGCAGCGAGCGCCAGUGCAAGACGGGCGCCAUGGGCGACCGGCUCAAGGAGUCGGGCAAAAUCAACCUGUCGCUGUCGGCGCUGGGCAACGUCAUCUCGGCCCUCACGGCGACGGACGGCCGCUCGUGGGGCAGCAGGCACAUCCCCUACCGGGACUCGAAGCUGACGCAGCUGCUGCAGGACUCGCUCGGCGGCAACUCCAAGGCCAUCAUGAUCGCCAACAUCGGCCCCGCCAGCUACAACUACGACGAGAGCCUCAUGACGCUGAGGUAUGCGAGCCGCGCAAAGCACAUCAAGAACACGCCGACGCGCAACAUGAACGAGGGCAGCACGGUGGCCGCGGCCGCGCGGGGGCCGGCCGCCAGGGGGACGAGGACCGCGUUCAGCCAGUACAACGAGGAGGUGCGCGCGCUCAAGAACCUGAUCCGGGCGGGCGGCGGCGGCGGCGUCGGCAGCGGCGGCCACCGCGGGGACUCGGGGACGGGCACGUCGUCGUCCACGGAGGACGGCGGCGGCAGCAGCAGCAGCGACCGGCGCUACCCGCGCGUCGGCGCGCGCCCCAUCUGGCACCACCGCCGCACGCGCUACUGCCACCGGCGCGCCGUGUGGCGCCUGCACGGCAAGCACCACCAGGAGGCCACCGUGCAGAUGGUGCGCUGGAUCCAGGAGCAGAUGGGCUGCCCCGUGGGCUGCCCGGCCAGGACGCCGCCGGCCGGGGACGCCGCGGGGCCCGCGGAGCCCGCGGGGCAGGCGGUGCAGGCGGGGCAGGCGGGGCCCGUCGACAGCGCGUCCUCGGACCUGUCCGACGCCGAGCCCGCGGCGCGCGCGCUCGCCGCCCUGGCCGUGCCCGAGCAGGCGGUGUCGCAGCGCGCGCAGAGCGAGCACCAGCACCAAGUGCUGCAGCUGCUGUCGGAGCAGGCGCGCCUGCGCAAGGCCCUCGCGCUCAAGAACGCCAUCUUCAGGGCCUUCGUCUCCGAGUGCAAGGGGCAAGUGCCCAGGAUGGAAGCCCUGGCCGAGCCCCUGCCCGUCGCCGACGCCCGUCAGAUACCGACCCUGGUGUCCUGACCGUCCUCAAGUGCGUCUCGCUGGCCGUGUCGUGGCGUGUGGCACACUCCAAUUCACGCAGUGGUGGACAAAAGUGGAACAAAUUUAAAUAUUCACAGUGUAAAAAUGUAUUUUGGGUAAUAAUUGCGUGAGGAAGUACUAUGAAAUACAAAUGCUAUGAUAAAUAAAUAAAUACACCGAAUAUCCAGACACAUUACAUCCAUAAAAUC